rnacentral:rRNA from 1 species
CCCUUAGAUGUUCUGGGCUGCACGCGCGCUACACUGAAGCUAUCUACACGUUUUCCCUCCCUGAGAAGGGCGGGUAACCUUUUGAAUCAGCUUCGUGGUAGGGAUCGGGGCUUGCAAUUGUUCCCCGUGAACCAGGAAUUCCUAGUAGACGCGAGUCAUAAGCUCGCAUCGAUUAAGUCCCUGCCCUUUGUACACACCGCCCGUCGCUACUACCGAUUGAACGUUUUAGUGAGGCAUUUGGACCGACGCAUCUCAGUUUAACCGCUGGUUUGUGUUGGAAAGACUUCCAAACUUGAGCGUUUAGAGGAAGUAAAAGUCGUAACA